AUUCCUGGAAGUGGCAUUCAGAGCUCUGGGCUGGGAACAAGAGUAUUUUCCUUCUCAACUUGGAAAUGAGGAUAUAUUUGAGCUGGUUGGCUUUGCAGUGACUAAGCCCUGUGUGUGGGAACAGCACUCCUGGUGCCAGGGAGAACAAGGAUCGCAUCAAAAGGAAACUGCAGCCUGGGGAAAUCCAUGCAGGAUCCCUGGAGGGGUCCAAGGCCAGGUUGGACUUUUGGAGCAAUCUGGGAUAAUGGGAGGUGUCCCUGCCUUGGGAAUGAGAUGGCCUUUAAGGUCCUUUCCAAGCCAAACCAUUCCAGGACUCUACAAUUUCCAUCAAAUAGGACAAAGUUUGCUUUUCUACUCCUCCAUGAAGUUUCCCUGGUCCAACUCUGCUUUCACUCAACAGCACCAGAAUAUUUACAGAGCAAACCGUGACCCUCUUUGGGUGAGGAAAUGGAACCACCCAGGGUUUUCCUCUUUGGAUGAGGAAAGGAAACCACCCAGGGUUCUCAAUUCCCCUAAAAAGACUUUUUAGUCUUGUGUGUCCUUAGCAGCUUGAUUUUCCUUCUAUUUUUCCUCCUAUUUUUCUUGCUGAUGAGCAUCACUUGAAAUCAGAUUUUAGUGAAAACACACAUGGAUGGGACUGUGGAAGAACCCAGCCACUACUGGCCAUGUAAAGCCAGCUUUGCUGGUGUCACAACCAUGAAAAAACCAGGAUUUACUUCAGAUUCCAAAGCACUGUUUGGUCUGUUAUUCCCACAGUCCCUGCCAGGAUGACACACUCAGCUCCAUCUCAGGGAGGAGAAAGUAAACACCACGACUUUUCCCUCAGGGGGUGGUGGUGGUGGUGGGGAUCUAUUUCCAGCAGCACUUCAGAAAAGCUGGCACCAAUCUGGGUUCUCAAGUGGGAUCUCACAGAGACCAGGAAUUCACAGCACGGAGCUGGCAGAGAGAGAAAUGCUGCAGAAAACGGGAAGGUAUUUUAAUAAAUGCCUUUAUUAAAAAAAAAAUCUAGGCUUUUUAUCAAUUUAAAUGUUUCUAAAUCUGUCAAAAAUUCAGUUUGUGAUAGUCAUAGACUCAGAAAAAAUAUCAAAUGGGUGGCUUAUCCAAAUUGAGGCCACUUUUGUUUUUCUGGCUAUGGAGAAAGAAUUUUACUUAAAUGUUUAUAUUUCAGUGAUGUGUUUCAUCUAACAUGAAAUAGAAAUUCCAUCUACUCAUGCCCACAAUAAAUGAAAAUCAUGGAAGGGU